rnacentral:rRNA from 1 species
GAUGAACGCUGGCGGCGUGCCUAAUACAUGCAAGUCGAGCGAAUGGAUUAAGAGCUCGCUCUUAUGAAGUUAGCGGCGGACGGGUGAGUAACACGUGGGUAACCUGCCCAUAAGACUGGGAUAACUCCGGGAAACCGGGGCUAAUACCGGAUAACAUUUUGAACCGCAUGGUUCGAAAUUGAAAGGCGGCUUCGGCUGUCACUUAUGGAUGGACCCGCGUCGCAUUAGCUAGUUGGUGAGGUAACGGCUCACCAAGGCAACGAUGCGUAGCCGACCUGAGAGGGUGAUCGGACGCACUGGGACUGAGACACGGCCCAGACUCCUACGGGAGGCAGCAAUAGGGAAUCUUCCGCAAUGGACGAAAGUCUGACGGAGCAACGCCGCGUGAGUGAUGAAGGCUUUCGGGUCGUAAAACUCUGUUGUUAGGGAAGAACAAGUGCUAGUUGAAUAAGCUGGCACCUUGACGGUACCUAACCAGAAAGCCACGGCUAACUACGUGCCAGCAGCCGCAGUAA